AAAGUAAUAGUCAGAUAUGGAAAAAUCCUUUCCGGCCCAUAACUAGAAAACUACAAGACUUACAAUCAUCAAACUUGGACAGUUUAUGCAUCUUAGGUAUAAGGUGUGUCGCGACCUAUUUCAAGGUCACUGUGACCUUUAAUUUAAGUGAAAUUUUAAAAAAAAAUGUGUCUUUUUACUAUUCAUUUACACAUCCCAAAUAAUGUAAGAGUAUUGCACUGUCCUUAUUAAAAAAGUGUUAAAUCAAGAAAAUACUUAUUUUUUUAAGCAUACACUUGACAGCAAUCUAUAACAAAUAUAAUGUAUGUUAGAAAAAUCCAACCUCUUCCAUGAGUGUAAUUAUCAAGCACUGGUCAAGAAGAUUUUUGAUAACAGAAAAUUGCAUGUCAAAUUAGAGAGAAAUUAAUGAGUUUAGUGUGAGGAGCUAACUGGUAGAGCAUCUCUGAUCAAGCAGGUGUUAUCUGUAUCCCUUGGGUAUUGGGCAAAUGGGUUAAAGCCUGUUGGAUUAAAAAUAGCUCUUGUUGGCUAGCCUAAGUUUUAAAAUGAAUUUGAUGAAAAGUAAUUAAAACUAAUUUGAUAUUGCAUAAUAGACUAAUCUGAUAUAAUAUUAUUAAUUUAAAAACUAAUUUUAUGGGGUGGGGUGGAAUCAGCAUGUCCAUAUGAAUUACAUAUUAAAACCUGUCGGACAUUAAAUCUCAACAAAAAAAAAUCUUUGAGUAUUUUAUAAAUUAUAUGUUUUAAAAAAAUUUUGUGGUAGAUAGUGCAGACCCAUUCAUCUCUUGGUAGUAAUGAGUAGACAAGCAUCCAGUUACUUUUAGAUUAAUUAAUGAGUUCAAUGUAGGAAGGCUAGCUCAGUCUUAUCUGUAUCCUUUGGGGAUUAGACAGAAGAACUGCUGGUCAGUUUAUAGCAUAUUUGAUUUGAUGGCCUGCCUUUUAUUUUCAAAAUUAAUUUGGUAUAGAUUAAGGUGUUAAGACUAAUUUGAUAUUGUUUAAUAUGAUGGGCAUUUGACAAGGUCUAACACAACCAGCAUAGAAAUCUAUCAAUGAUGUAAUAUUUAUUAUAAUUAAUGCCUACAUCACAGGGGAUGGAUAAAUACUUUAA